rnacentral:lncRNA from 1 species
GGAAUUGGCUGAUUCAACAGUUUGGCUGAACUAGGACUCUGCCACAGGUUACUCACUGUGCUUCAUUUCUGUUCCAAUUUUAAAAGAGUGUAUUUAACAUUCCAUCUCAAGACGAUGUGAUAGCAAUGAAGUCUUUACAUCAAAAACAGAAGAGGGGAGUUCAUCCAUAAUGAAGAUCAGCAGUGGAGUGGAAUGAGUCUUCCCUGGCCCACUUCAGUCAUUUUACAUUUCACACAACAAUGCAGAGCAUACCUUGUGGCGGCAUAUUCUGAUCUCCUAUAGUAGAUUCUCACAAAUUUCUCAUGUAGAAACUCACAAACAAGAAUCGUGGGUCUUUUUUGCUCAAGAAUUGCUUCAGGCAUUUCAGAUUCUGAACUCUAGUGGAAAGACUGACACCAACCAGUCUGAAGACCCCCACCAUGCAACUGGCUCAGAAGAAUGCACCUUUGGCAUCUCCCUGUCCCAAGACUGCACUCCUCACUUCUCAAGAAUCAAAAAUCCCUACACUUCAGCCGCUGUCCAGACCCCUCACAAACCCUACCCUAAACCUCUUGGAGAGGUGGAUUUGACUUUUCCUCCCAUCUCCUUGUCUGACUGUCAUAAAAAUAUUACACUAUUUCUCUGCUGCUAUCACCA